AUUUCUAGAAUUGUGCAACUUAGAGUUUUGGUAUUAUAUGGCAUUGAUUCUCUUUGCUGGAUAUUUAAAGAAUGCAGAAGCUUCUGUGGAUGCCUUGUCCAUAUGCAUGAACAUAUUGGGCUAGACUGUCAUGGUAGCUUUUGGAUUCAAUGCAGCCAUAAGGUUAUUUUGGCAUACACAAAAACUACCAUAAUAUGUAAAUAAAAAAAAUAUUUAGUUAAUGAUUAAUUUGUUGGAAUGAUUUUUGUCCAGAAUGACCACUGAUUUAAAUUA